GGCGUAAGAAGAGUGAGGAGGCAGUAGGUUUUGCUUUUGUGCUCAAAAACAAAGUAAAAAAAGGGGACAAGGUGACCGUGAAGGUUAGUGCAUAAAGGAAUUUCUAUGCUUAAAGCUUACUAAGAUUAGAGUGUUGAUCGAGGUUAAGACAAGGGAGGUCACAUUUUGGGGUUAAAGACCAUGGGGUAUUAGUCUAGUGUUUUGUGAUAGAGGAGGACUACUUCUAGUCUUUUUGUGGAGAUCAAAGUCCAUAGUAGGACCUUGGAUUUCAAGUUGUAAUUUUGGACCAUGUCUAGAAGCUUAAAUGUGUAUAUUAUAAUUCCAAUUAAGCUAUCUUCGGGGAAGGAACUUUAAGACCAAGAGGUUGUUUAGGUUAUCUUGUGAUUGAUAUUUUGUUUAGCAGGCUUCGUAUUAUAACGA